CUCCCUUCACUUUGUUCCCAGGGCAUCCGUUUGCAAAGCCUGACAAGGCUGUCAAUAGGUCAGGCAUCAAAUGGUUCUCAAAGCAAUUAUCCUGAAUAUUCCAUCCUCCGCCACAUACCUGCGCCUGCGUGGCUACUCACCAACAAAACUACCACGUGACUCUACCAGCCAGAGGGGCCUGUGGAUCCAGUGACCAACUGAUGAAAUCCAGGGAAGCAGCAUGGGGGAGGCAUUCAACAAAGUCCAGAGUCAGCCAGAAACCCUUUGUGCCCCUGAAAAACACACAAGCAUUCAAGUGUUCAGCUCAGAUCCUGCGUUCAGAUCAAAGGUUUUCGCUCUACUGUCUUUCAUCAGAACCUCUGCUCAGUCCUGUGGGAACAGCUCGCCUGCUGGAAACCACCAGGCUACACAGGUUCUAGGAGUUCAUUCCAGCUUCCCCCACAUCCCAGGAAUGUGGCAAGUGCGGGCACAUCAACUAUGUCUGUAAGACUUCUCUGAAGGAGACAUAGCUCCCAG
rnacentral:lncRNA from 1 species